UACGGAGGAUGCAAGCGUUAUCCGGAUUCAUUGGGUUUAAAGGGUGCGCAGGCGGAAUGAUAAGUCAGUGGUGAAAUCCUACGGCUCAACUGUAGAACUGCCAUUGAUACUGUUGUUCUUGAGUACACUUGAAGUGGGCGGAAUGUGUCAUGUAGCGGUGAAAUGCUUAGAUAUGACACAGAACACCGAUCGCGAAGGCAGCUCACUAACGUGAAACUGACGCUCAGGCACGAAAGCGUGGGGAU
rnacentral:rRNA from 1 species